rfam:Candidatus Levybacteria bacterium RIFCSPHIGHO2_01_FTLL_37_17 rifcsphigho2_01_scaffold_39, whole genome shotgun sequence.
GGACUCGUAGUUCAGUGGUAGAGCGCUUCAUUCACAUUGAAGAUGUCAGAGGUUCGAAUCCUCUCGAGUCCA